AUACUUACCUGGCAGCGGAGAUGCCAUGAUCACGAAGGUGGUUUUCCCAGGGCGAGGCUGGUCCAUUGCACUCCGGGGCCCCUCUCGCGGGAAACUCGGCUGCAUAAUUUGUCUUGCGGGGCGGUGGCGGGGGGGGGGGGUGGGUUCCGUGCUAGCUUUCCCGA